rnacentral:rRNA from 1 species
CUAGGAUGAACGCUAGCGACAGGCCUAACACAUGCAAGUCGAGGGGCAGCGCGGGAGAAGCUUGCUUUCCUGGCGGCGACCGGCGCACGGGUGCGUAACAGGUGUGCAAUCUGUCCAUAGUCGGGGGAUAGCCCAGCGAAAGCUGAAUUAAUACUCCAUGUGAAUCGAAGCCGCAUGACUUUGAUUUGAAACGCAAGGACUAUGGGUGAGCACGCUUCUGAUUAGGUAGUUGGUGGGGUAACGGCCCACCAAGCCGACGAUCAGUAGGGGUUCUGAGAGGAAGGUCCCCCACAUUGGAACUGAGACACGGUCCAAACUCCUACGGGAGGCAGCAGUGAGGAAUAUUGGUCAAUGGGCGAGAGCCUGAACCAGCCAAGUCGCGUGAAGGAUGAAGGUUCUAUGGAUUGUAAACUUCUUUUGUCCGAGGGUAAAAAGGCCACGUGUGGCUUCUUGCAAGUAUCGGACGAAUAAGCAUCGGCUAACUCCGUGCCAGCCGCCGC